rnacentral:rRNA from 1 species
AGAGUUUGAUUAUGGCUCAGGAUGAACGCUGGCGGCGUGCUUAACACAUGCAAGUCGAACGGAGUUUUUAAACGGAAGUUUUCGGAUGGAAGUUUAGAAACUUAGUGGCGGACGGGUGAGUAACGCGUGGGUAACCUGCCUCAUACAGGGGGAUAACAGUUAGAAAUGACUGCUAACACCGCAUAAUAUAGCGAAACCGCAUGAUUUUGCUAUCAAAUAUUUAUAGGUAUGAGAUGGGCCCGCGUCUGAUUAGCUAGUUGGUGGGGUAAAAGCCUACCAAGGCGACGAUCAGUAGCCGGCUUGAGAGAGUGACCGGCCACAUUGGGACUGAGACACGGCCCAAACUCCUACGGGAGGCAGCAGUGGGGAAUAUUGGACAAUGGGGGAAACCCUGAUCCAGCGAACCGCCGCGUGAGUGAAGAAGUAUUUCGGUAUGUAAAGCUCUAUCAGCAGGGAAGAUAAUGACAGUACCUGACUAAGAAGCCCCGGCUAACUACGUGCCAGCAGCCGC